CUGUAAACACAAGUCACGUGACAGAUGAGUCUCGAGUUCGAAUCACGUGACCGCCGUGACGUAGACGGAAAUACAAAGUUCGGCCGUUGCGACAUGCAAGAAGGAAAAUGUCGCUUAAUGAAAGCAGGCAAACGUUUGUCAAGCCGGCGAUCCCGUUCUCGUGGACCAUCCGAGGUGGACUCCUUCGUGGCGAGAUGAUCCUCAUCCAGGGAUCGCUACCUUCUGACGCAGACAGGUUCCAGGUGGACCUGACGUGCGGCAGCAGCAUCCAGCCGCGCGCCGACGUCAUCUUCCAUUUGAACCCGCGCGUGAGCAAAGGUCAGGUGGUGUGUAACACGCUGGAGCGGGGUCACUGGGGCAGCGAGGAGAUCUUUCAGCGCAUGCCCUUUGCCAAGGGCGCCCGCUUUGAGCUGCUGUUGCUGGCCCUCGACGACGUCUUCAAGGUGGCGGUCAACGGCGCUCACCUGUUGGACUACAAACAUCGACUGUCGCCGGAGCGGGUCAACACCCUGGCCGUCUCGGGAAAGGUCCACGUCGACGUGGCUGCCGUUCUACCGCAAUCUAAGACGGCUUCAUCGUCCGCUGGCGCCUCGCCGACCGACGAAGUGCCCGAUGACAUCGCAAGUGCGCACAUGCUCGUCAUGUCAGCUGAUCCGCGCGGCGGGUUCCAAAGCGAGCUGGCUGGCGGUCUCCGUGUGGGCAGCAGCAUCGUCAUCCGAGGACACGCCAAUCAAGGGGCAGAGAGGUUUGCCAUCAACCUGUACGUGGGCGACGGAGACGACAGGGCGCUGCACCUCAACCCUCGCUUCAAAAAGAAGAUGAUCGUGCUCAACUCCUUCCUGUCCGGUUGCUGGGGCAAAGAGGAGCACCAAGCGGAUGUUUUCCCCUUCGGACCGGGACUCUACUUUGAGAUCAUCAUCCGCUGCGACGUGGACUCGUUCCGCGUGGCCGUCAACGGCGUCCACCAGCUGGACUACAAAUACCGAGUUCAGCGCCUGACGAGCAUAACGCGACUGCAAGUGACAGGCGACCUGUCGCUGAUGGACGCCCGACUGAUGUGACGUCAUCACGGCGAGUCACAUGAAGGCGAGAAGGUCAGACGUAUUCCUGCCGGCUGUAACUGUCCUUCACAUCCCGCUCGGAGGCGACGGGAGAUUUUUCCCUGCCGACCCUUUGCGGACGCCACCUCUCCGCCCGGGUCGGCGCCAUCUCCGUGGGGGUCGGGUAGUCCUGCGAGGCCGACCCCGGACAGGACAAGCAAAAGAUGACGCCUGCCGCCAAGAGGAAGCCGGCGGAGACGAAGGUGACGCAGAGCGCCCCGCCGGGCUGGUAUUUGCUACCGUCGGCUUGCCGGGCGCUCAUGAAGGCGGCCACGACCUCGGACGUGAACCAGGACGCGGGGCCCAGGCACAAGGCGGCGGCCAGGACGAAGCAGCCCCCCGCCGUCACGGCCGUGCGCCCCUUGGCUCGUUGGCCGCCUCCCCAACGGGUGCAGCGGAGCCCAAGAGAGGCCAAGCACAGACCGAAGGCGGCCAGCACGCAGGACAGGACCAUGGCGGCCCGGGUGGUCUGCAGGUAAGGGGGCAGCGCCAGCGGCGGGGACUUGUUGGUGGUGCAGCUGAAGACGCCCGCCCCGUACCAGACGCAGUCCAUCCACAGCCCCCGCGUGUGCCACAUGGGGGCCACCAUGCUGGACCACACCCUGAUGCUCACCUGCCAGUUGGGAAGCAGCGUGGCCACCGUGGCGCCCAGCGUGCCCAGCAGCGCCAGGACGAACGCCAGGAUCUGCGCGGCGGCCGAAAGCAUCGCUACCAGUCCUGAAGUAAGAGAAGGCGGGUGAGGCUCCGACUUGGGUUCUUUUUCGCCUUCAUCGUCGCUGUCGUCGUCUUCGCAGGCUUCUUCGUCAUCUGCAGCAGAGCGACAAUUGAACAACGUGCAUGAAAAUUAUUAUCUGCAGGUUAAUCGAUCAAUCCGGCCAAACAUUCCCCAAAUGCACAAUCAUUUUGGAGCCUUAUUGUUAUUUUGCGUUGGAGCAGUUUGCGUUCUGGGUGCUUACCAGCUGCGCAGCCUGCAGCGACUUUUUCCUUGUCUACGAGCUCGCUGAGAAUCCGUGAGACGUUCUCGCUCAUUUUGUGAAGCCCUGUGAUUAAAGACGGGAGCGUGUU